UGUUAUACGGAUAACAUGUUGGAGUUGG
rnacentral:piRNA from 1 species